GGGCCGGGCGCUCCCAGCUGGCGGGGUCUGACCUGGGAAGGCGCGGCCCUCUCGGUCCCCUACCGCCUCCAGUUCCCUCUCGGUCUUCCCAGCUGGCCUUUUCCUGGAUCUCUCUCCCUGUUAUGGUCUGUCUGCCCGCCUCCUUCUCACUUGGGGUCUGUACAUUUCCUAUCUCCCUACCACCGCUCUUCCCCAAACCCUCGGUCCUCUCACCUCUAAAAUUCUUCUUUAAAAGAGCAAACGCCCAACAGACGCCAGGAGACCCGCCCCGCGCCCGCCCCGCCCCACCCGUCGCCACCUUCAAGUUCACCGCGGGCAGCUCCAUCCCGACCAAGGCGGAGGGCACCUGCGCCACAGCCUCGGGGACUCCUGGGCUCCGAACUCGGGAAAGAAACUUGCCGGCCCCGCCCCGCCCGCCGCGGCAGCUCUAACCCCAGUCUGGCUCCAGACCACGUGAAGCGGAUCACGUGACCCAGGCCCGGUUGCUAGGAGACGGCGUCGGGCUUCUGGCGCCUUUCUCCAGCCCAGGCAGUUCCCGGGCGCGCUUGGAGAAUCAUCAGGAUUUAUGUUGCAACGGGGCAAUAUCUUGGAGGGGAGAAACCACAUGGAAACAGGCCAGACCGCCUGCUGGGUCCUGAGAGCACAUCAACAUGCUCAGCGUAUCAAAUGGGCGCUCUCCAGGAGCAGAGAAAGGAUUUUUCUGGAGACCCGUGCACUCAAGUCGGACACGAGAGAACCCAUCAGAAUGCCCGGUGAAUGCCUUGGUGAGCGUCGAAAAGGCACAAAAGGAAACUGCCUGUGCCCUGUUGUUUCCAGGAAACAGGUUGUGUUGGCCACCAGCCAGAAAGAAAGUGGAUGUGAGAGGCUGUUGCCCAAGACAGAGACAGCCCCGCCCCCGCCGCUGUCUGAGUCUCUGUCCUGUGGCGUUGUCCUCGUUCCUCUCAUCCUACUCCCGCAAUCCUCUCCGUCAUUACGUGUCUGUGCGUCUGCACGUGGAUGCGCGCACAUGUGUGUGCGUGUGCCAACUGCCUCCCGCCUCCCGCUGCCUGUCCCGGAUCUGUCCCUCUGUCCCGGGUCUGCCCGAGUUUAGGCUGCUGCCUCCUUCCCUCUGUCAGGCCUCCCAUCUCCCCAGGUGGACGGGGUGAGAAUUCCAAGGGAGGCGUCUGAGGGCUCAGAUACGCAGACAAGGCCAGUUAUGGCCUCCGAGCCCCGCGGCGCCCAGGAUGCCUAUCUGUGUGGGGCUAUCUCAGUGUUUGCUUUCACCCUCUUCUGCUAGGCCGGCUCCCAGCCGUUGGCUUUUGGGGCUGGCUCUGGGGCCGGCUCCAUGAGGUCUCACCUCCCUUGCUGAGGGGCCUCGAGGGAGCCUGUGCCCAGGCAGGCGGAGAGAUUGAGAAGAAUGAGGAAGCAGAUGUGGGGUCGGGCAGGGUGCUUCUGUGGGUUCCACCAGCUGGGAAGCACCUGGGAGGCAUCCCGACCCCCUUCCUCUUGAGCAGCCCUCCAGGAGGGGCCUGAAGUGAGUGCAGGACUCGGUGCUGGUAGCUCAGGGCCCAGGCCUGCCCUGCGAGCUCCUGUCCCCGCUGGCCCCGACGGCAGCCUUGGGGAUCCUGGAUGAGCUCACAGCUCCCGUCAGCUGGGGAGUGGGUGGGGGCGGGGGCGAGGUGGGUGACCAACUCCUAGUUUUCGCUCAGUAAACUUGAGGCAUCUGAGAGGCAACCUGGGGUCGGGGGACUCAGUCAGGUUUUGGAGUCAGAGAGACUUGAGGGGGCCCCUGGCACUGCCACUAAGUGACUGCACCACUUUGGACAAGUGGCCUGUCUUGGUGCCUUCGUUUUCCUCCUCUGGAAAAUAGGGUCCAACAAUUUCCGUCUGCUAAGAGGACGGGUGCCUCCCGUGUGGAUGCAGCUCAGUACACAGGGGCCAGGGUGGUGUUCAGAUGACAUGUGUUCUGCUCCGUGCCAGGCACGGACACAAGGUCAGAGCUGGGGACACGGAGAGACAGUUCAGGAGAACAGUGUGCAGAGCUGACCAAGCUGCCCUGCUGCACUGACCCGUCCCCAGCGUGGAAGGAGCCGGGUUUCCUGUCCUGGUCCCCAGGCACAAAUGUGUGGAUUUCAGGAUACACCAUUGUGGGGGUAUGAUGAAGGGCACGGGGCACCCCUGUUAGCCACUUGCCUACCCAGUCACGAGUCCAUUCACAUCACCCUCCCCCACCCCACCCAACUGGGAUUUCAUGUCCCGACACCGAGUAGACACUCAUCUGGGCACACCAGGGCAUGCCUGCCCACGUCCAUGACAGAUGGUGACCACUGCUGCCAGCUUAUGCUCAAGCUGGCAGGGGAGUCAGGGGGCCCAGAGCUUCACCACAUGCCAAAGACAGCGCAGCCACAGGCUUGGUACUGUGAUCUGGAGCAGAAGCUGAGGCGCUGCGCCCCAGAAGCGCCCCUGUGACGGUCAGUUUUCUGUCGACUUGGCCAGGCGUUGGUCCCCGAGGAUUUAAUCACACACUAAUCCAGGUGUUGCUGUGAAGGCAAUUUGCGGAUUUGGUCAACAUCGACAAGCAGUUGACUUCAAGUAAAGGAGAUUACCCUCGAGAAUGGGGGUGGGCCACAUCCAACCAGUUGAAGGUCUUAAGAACAAAAACCGAAGUUUUGGAGAGGAAGAAAUGUGGCCUCAAGCCUGAGUUUCUGGCCUGCUGGCCUGCCAUUCAGAUGUCAGACUUGCUGGCCCCUACAGAAGUAUGAGCCGAUUCCUUAAAAUAAAUCCACUUGAAUAUGUAUAUAAAGAAGAAAUAUAUUAAUCCAUAGACAUUUAAAGAUAUAUAGAUAGAAAUAUCCCAUUGGUUCUGUGUCUCUGGAGAUCCUGGCUGAUACCCCCCAGUCCAGCCAUGGAUGCCUCAGGGCAGCACCCAGGCUGCCAGCACCAAGAGCCGAAGUCCCGGUGGCCUUGGUUCUGACUGGGUGACCUCCCCCUCCGGCUCUGCUCUGAGCCUCGUUAGUGAGAUGGGUUUGACCUGACAUCCCAGGACAGACGGGGUUUUUACAAGUCCGGUAGGCCUUCUGCAGCCACUGACCCAGGGGUCAAUAGUACAGAUCAGAGGUUGGCAAACCACAGCCUGUGGGCAGAUCCAGCCUGCUGCCCUUUUGCGUAAAUAAAGUUUUAUUGGAACACAGCUGUGCUCAUUCAUUUGUGCUCAUCCAUUUGCGUGCUAUCU